CAGUAGCCGCGGUAAUACGGAGGGGGCUAGCGUUGUUCGGAAUUACUGGGCGUAAAGCGCACGUAGGCGGCUUGGUAAGUUAGAGGUGAAAGCCCGGAGCUCAACUCCGGAAUUGCCCUUAAGACUGCCGAGCUAGCAGGUGAGAGAGGUAAGUGGAAUUCCGAGUGUAGCGGUGAAAUUCGUAGAUAUUCGGAAGAACACCAGUGGCGAAGGCGGCUUACUGGCUCAUACUGGACGCUGAGGUGCGAAAGCGUGGGGAGCAAACAGGAUUAGAUACCCCAGUAGUCCCUGUCUCUUAUAU
rnacentral:rRNA from 1 species